rnacentral:rRNA from 1 species
UACAGAGGUCUCAAGCGUUGUUCGGAUUCAUUGGGCGUAAAGGGUGCGUAGGUGGCAUGGUCAGUCGGAUGUGAAAUCCCGGGGCUCAACCCCGGAACUGCAUUCGAUACUGCCGCGCUAGAGUACUGGAGAGGAGAUUGGAAUUUACGGUGUAACAGUGAAAUGCGUAGAGAUCAGCAGGAAUACCCGUGGCGAAGGCGGCCCCCUGGGCCGAACCUGACGCUGAGGCGGCGAAGAGCGUGGGGAGCGAACAGG